GGUUCGAUUAUGGCUCAGAUUGGGCUUGCUGGCGGGAUGCUUUACACAUGCAAGUCGAACGGCAGCACGGACUUCGGUCUGGUGGCGAGUGGCGAACGGGUGAGUAAUGUAUCGGAACGUGCCUAGUAGCGGGGGAUAACUACGCGAAAGCGUAACUAAUACCACAUACGCCCUUCGAAGCGGGGGACCUUCGGGCCUCGCACUAAUAGAGCAGCCCGAUAUCGGAUUAGCUGGUUGGUGGGGUAACGGCUCACCAAGGCGACGAUCCGUAGCUGGUUUGAGAGGACGACCAGCCACACUGGGACUGAGGCACGGCCCAGACUCCUACGGGAGGCAGCAGUGGGGAAUUUUGGACAAUGGGGGAAACCUGAUCCAGCCAUCCCGCGUGUGCGAUGAAGGCCUUCGGGUUGUAAAGCACUUUUGGCAGGAAAGAAACGGCACGGGAUAAUACCCCGUGCAACUGACAGUACCUGCAGAAUAAGCGCCGGCCAACUACGUGCAAAGCAGCCGCGGUAAUACGUAGGGUGCAAAGCGUUAAUCGGAAUUACUGGGCGUAAAGCGUGCGCGGAGCGGUUCGGAAAGAAGAUGUGAAAUCCCAGAGCUUAACUUUUUGGAACUGCAUUUUUAACUACCGAGCUAGAGUGUGUCAGGAGGAGGUGGAAUUCCGUGUAGCAGUGAAAUGUCGUAGAUAUGCGGAGGAACACCGAUGGCGAGGCAACCUCCUGGGAUUGCAGCGCUCAUGCACCUUGCUUCAGUAAGAGGAGCAAACAGGAUUAGAUGCCAUGACAUUCCACUUCUAAACGAUGUCAACUGGCUGUUGGGGCCUUCGGGCCUUGGUAGCGCAGCUAACGCGUGAAGUUGACCGCCUGGGGAAGUACGGUCGCAAGAUUAAACAAGGAAUUGGCGGGGACCCACUGCGGAUGAUGUGGAUUAAUUCGAUGCAACACUGAAAAAACUCACUACAUGUGACAUGUGGAAUCCAGAAGAGAUUUGGGAGUGCUCGCAAAGAGAACCGGUUACAGGUGCUAUGGCUGUCGUCAGCUCGAUGUCGUGAGAUGUUGAGUUGGUCUGUAUGCAGGCGCAACCGCAUCAUUAGUUGCUGCGAGGGCACUCUAAUGCAGAACUACCGGUAACAAACCGGAGAGAAAGUGGGGAUGACAUCAAGUCUCCUCAUAGCCAUAUGGGUAGGGCUUCCACGUCAUGUCAGUCGCGGGACAGAGGGUCGCCAACCCGCGAGGAGCCAAUCCCGACCCGAUCGUAGUCGGAUCGCAGUCUGCAACUCGACUGCGUGAAGUCGGAAUCGCUAGUAAUCGCGGAUCAGCAUGUCGCGGUGAAUACGUUCCCGGUCACCCGGCACCGCCCGUCACACCUGUGGGAGUGGGUUUUGCAGAAGUAGUUAGCCUAACCGUAAGGAGGCGAUUACCACGGUAGGAUUCAUGACUGGGGAAUUUGAAGUCGUAACAAAGGUAG
rnacentral:rRNA from 1 species